CCUACGGGUGGCAGCAGUGAGGAAUAUUGGUCAAUGGGCGGAAGCCUGAACCAGCCAAGUAGCGUGCAGGAUGACGGCCCUACGGGUUGUAAACUGCUUUUAUACGGGAAUAACGCGCCUUUCGUGUAGGGCUUUGCAUGUACCGUAUGAAUAAGGACCGGCUAAUUCCGUGCCAGCAGCCGCGGUAAUACGGAGGAGGCGAGCGUUAUCCGGAAUGACUGGGGGUAAAGGGUGCGUAGGUGGGUUGGCAAGUUAGUAGCGUAACUCCAAGGCUCAACCUUGGAACUGCUAGUAAAACUGUUGGACUUGAGUGCAGGAGGGGCACGCGGAAUUCCUGGUGUAGCGGUGGAAUGCGUAGAUAUUAGGAGGAACACCAGUGGCGAAGGCGGGUUGCUAGCCUGUAACUGACACUGAGGCACGAAAGCGUGGGGAGCAAACAGGAUUAGAUACCCCAGUAGUC
rnacentral:rRNA from 1 species